rnacentral:rRNA from 1 species
AGGACGAACGCUGGCGGCGUGCUUAACACAUGCAAGUCGAGCGGAAAGGCCUUUCGGGGUACUCGAGCGGCGAACGGGUGAGUAACACGUGAGUAAUCUGCCCAUCGCUUCAGGAUAGCCAUCGGAAACGGUGAUUAAUACUGGAUAUGACAUUCCUUCGCAUGUUGGGGUGUGGAAAGUUUUUUCGGCGGUGGAUGUGCUCGCGGCCUAUCAGCUUGUUGGUGGGGUAAUGGCCUACCAAGGCUUUGACGGGUAGCCGGCCUGAGAGGGUGACCGGCCACACUGGGACUGAGACACGGCCCAGACUCCUACGGGAGGCAGCAGUGGGAAUAUGGACAAUGGGCGAAGCCUGAUCCAGCAACGCCGCGUGAGGAUGACGGCCUUCGGUUGUAAACCUCUUUCAGCACAGACGAAGUUUUGUCGUUUUUUGGUGUAAGUGACGGUAUGUGCGAGAAG